GAUCAGAUCCACUUUAGUGUUAUUGAUUGAUUAUUGGCACCAAGCAGCUGAUAUAUGAAGCAAAGAUGAGGAUUGAUUGAUUGAUUUUUGUUUGUACGGUUCAACCUAAACUUCAUUUUCCCCUUCUGUUUAAGGUAAACUUUUUUCAAUUUGGAUUAAAUACAGAUGGAUCUAUUGACAGCUGUUUCUGAUUCGUUGACAAGCUUUCAGCUCGCGUGGAUGUCAAUAAUAGAACCUCUGAUGUUUUUUACUUGUGAACGAGUUCUGAGAAUCUCGGGUGUGUUUGCUCCAGAUCAGUGAGUCCGACUGAUCAAUACCUGUUCAGACGUAUUGAUCGGCGUUCCCCGUGCUGUUGCUGAUGCUGAACAAACAGCUCCUUCUUUCCCGCCAUCACUCCUGUGUUUUGCUGCCCCCUGCUGAUCACGUUCAGCUUUAAUCUCAGCCAUACGUUCUGUUGUUCAUGGAAAGCAGCUGUGAAUAAAGUUUCAGUGGAUUGAAAGAGUUAAUCCGCCAGAUUAGCCGUGUGUUCUUUGUGAACUCCGAUUAGCUCCGUAGUUAAUCCGGCUGCAGUCAACAUGUCGGACAGAAGAACCACGGCGCUGCUCACAGUGCUGCUGUUUUUGUCUGCGUCGGCCUUCGUGGAGGAGCUCGAUGACUCCUUCAUGGAGAGAAAAGGACCUGAA